CGUUGUUAGGGAAGAACAAGUGCCGUUCGAAUAGGGCGGUACCUUCGACGGUACCUAACCAGAAAGCCACGGCUAACUACGUGCCAGCAGCCGCGGUAAUACGUAAGUGGCAAGCGUUGUCCGGAAUUAUUGGGGCGUAAAGCGCGCGCAGGGCGGUUUCUUAUAGUCUGAAGUGAAAGCCCCCGGCUCAACCGGGGAGGGUCAUUGGAAACUGGGGAACUUGAGUGCAGAAGAAGAAAGUGGAAUUUCCACGUGUAGCGGUGGAAAUGCGUAAA
rnacentral:rRNA from 1 species